AAAAAGGCUCUUUUAAGAGCCACCCACUGAUUACAACAGAAGAAC
rfam:Danio rerio chromosome 25, GRCz11 reference primary assembly.